rnacentral:misc_RNA from 1 species
CCCGAGUUUACAACUCCCAAACCCCUGUGAACAUACCACUUGUUGCCUCGGCGGAUCAGCCCGCUCCCGGUAAAACGGGACGGCCCGCCAGAGGACCCCUAAACUCUGUUUCUAUAUGUAACUUCUGAGUAAAACCAUAAAUAAAUCA